ACUCAAGCGCACGCAAUUCUUCUAUUCUAACUGUUGUGUAAUAUAUAGUAAAGGAACACAUACAGGAGAAAACAUAUAUAAUACAGAUUUCAGAAUGGCUAUGGUAAAAAAAAUUAUGGGACAAUGUAUGGUGGAAGCAUUUUGUUCUGAUGUUUCAAGAUAUUCUUCACAACCUAAUUACCGUUUCUGCAUUAAGAGGCAGAAAACAGUUUCCUUGCUCCCCACUUUCUCGGAGCUGAAGACGAUGUUGCAACUACCUGCCCCUUAUUCACAACCAUCCUUUAUCAAAUUAGAUGAGUCUUCCAAGAGAGACCUUGCCUUGAAUCCGAUCGAUGAGUAUGACCAUAACGGGAACUGUAACUAUCAAGAUCAAUAGUGAGAUUACUGAUCAUGAGGAGAUGGUGGCCAUGAUGCUUCAACACUUAAGAUACUUUCAACAAUGACGAAUAAUUGUCAUGCAGCUAGUUAGCACAGAAAUUGACCCAAGAACCAUGGAGCCAAAACUGAGCAACCCAGUUGCAUUGAACUGGUUGAAACACUUUAAUGUGGGGGAUGAGAGGUCCACAUACAAAGUAGAGUUUGAGAUAGAUUCAGAUUUGGGGUUCUCGGGAGCUAUUACUGUGACAAACAAAUACGACAAAGAGAUCUUUUUGGAAGGCUUUUCCAUUGAAGGUGCAUGUUGUGGAUAUUGCCUGCAAUUCUUGGAUUCAACCCUGAAGGUUCAUCCAGAGGAGAGAAUUUUCUUCAGUAACAAGGUACUUUGAAAUCUAUUGCCAUCGAGCUGAGUCUUCCAGAAUCCAAACAGGUCCUUACCCCUCCAUUGGAUGCCACCUCUCAUUGGUUGUAGCAAAUUGCCAAAGCACAUGUUUGCUUCAAUGACGCUGGUGUUCACCAACUUGUCCAUCAUUGGUUGAGAAUCCACGCUUGCAUGGAGCCAUUCAUCAUAGCUGCUCAUCGCCAUCUAAGUGUUAUGCACCCGGUUUUCAAACUCCUAAAGCCUCAUUUGAAACACACAUUGCAAAUAAAUGCAUUGGCUCUCAUAUCAACGAAGGAGGCAUCAUUGAGUCUGAUUUUUCUGCCGGCAAACACAGCACUGAAAUAAUCUCAGCUGCUUACAAAGAUUGGUGGCGUUUUGACAUGGAAGCCCUUCUUGCUGAUCUCAUCAGAAGGGGACUAGCAGAACCAGACCCAACACAACCCUAUGGACUAAGACUACUCAUUGAAGACUACCCUUAUGCAAAUGAUGGACUUCUUUGUAUGGUUUGCUUUGGAGAACUUGGUUAGGACUUACGUGAACUACUAUUACCGUGAUGGGAACAUGGUUCGGUCAGACAGUGAGCUUCAAGCAUGGUAUAGUGAGGUCAUCAAUGUGGGCCAUGCUGAUCAUGCAAAUGCGAGUUGGUGGCCCACACUCUCCACUCCCAAUGAUCACACUCAUAUGGGUUGCUUCGGUUCAGCAUUCAGCGGUGAAUUUUGGGCAAUAACCUCUUGGUGGGUAUGUCCCAAUGCGUUCCCCACACAUGAAGAAGUUGUUGCCCAAAGAGGAGGAUUCAGAAUACAAAGAUUUUUUGGAGGACCCAGAAGGAUACUUGUUGUCUUGCUUGCCAAAUUUGUUGGAAACCACCAAGUUUCUAGCUGUAGUUAACAUACUUUCUCAGCAUUGGCCGGAUGAAGAGUACAUAGGGCAGAGGAAGGACCUGUCAGAUUGGACUGGUGACACAGAAAUCAUACAGGCAUUUUAUGAGUUUUCCAUGGAUAUAAAGAUAAUAGAAAAGGAGAUUGACAAGAGAAAUAAAGACCCAACACGUAGAAAUAGAUGUGGUGCUGGAAUUCCACCAUAUGAGUCGCUAAUAGCCUCCUCUGGUCCUGGAGUUACAGGUAGAGGGGUGCCGAAUAGCAUAAGUAUAUAGAAGUCAUGUAAGUUGUAAAAUUUGUUGUAUAAAAUUUAUCUAUUAAUAGCAUUAUCCAUAGACAAAAUGAAGUUGCAAAAGUAUGUACUUUUGUAGCAGAGAUAAUGGAAUAAACAAAGGCUGAAUACUAUUUUGAGUAA